GUAGGUGGCAAGCGUUGUCCGGAAUUAUUGGGCGUAAAGCGCGCGCAGGCGGUUCUUUAAGUCUGAUGUGAAAGCCCACGGCUCAACCGUGGAGGGUCAUUGGAAACUGGAGAACUUGAGUACAGAAGAGGAAAGCGGGAUUCCACGUGUAGCGGUGAAAUGCGUAGAGAUGUGGAGGAACACCAGUGGCGAAGGCGGCUUUCUGGUCUGUAACUGACGCUGAGGCGCGAAAGCGUGGGGAGCAAACAGGAUUAGAUACCCUGGUAGUCCACGCCGUAAACGAUGAGUGCUAAGUGUUAGGGGGGUUUCCGCCCCCCUUAGUGCUGCAGCUAACGCAUUAAGCACUCCGCCUGGGAGUACGGCCGCAAGGCUG
rnacentral:rRNA from 1 species